ACACCGCAUGGUGUAGGGUUGAAAGAUGGUUUCGGCUAUCACUUUAGGAUGGACCCGCGGUGCAUUAGUUAGUUGGUGAGGUAAAGGCUCACCAAGACCGUGAUGCAUAGCCGACCUGAGAGGGUAAUCGGCCACACUGGGACUGAGACACGGCCCAGACUCCUACGGGAGGCAGCGGUAGGGAAUCUUCCACAAUGGACGAAAGUCUGAUGGAGCAACGCCGCGUGAGUGAAGAAGGUUUCGGAUCGUAAACUCUGUUGUUGGAGAAGAAUGUAUCUGAUAGUAACUGAUCAGGUAGUGACGGUAUCCAACCAGAAAGCCACGGCUAACUACGUG
rnacentral:rRNA from 1 species